CCCUUAGAUGUUCUGGGCCGCACGCGCGCUACACUGACUACUUCAACGAGUUGUUUCCUUGAUCGAAAGGUCUGGGUAAUCUUUGAAAGGUAGUCGUGAUGGGGAUAGAUCCUUGCAAUUUUUGAUCUUCAACGAGGAAUUCCUAGUAAACGCAAGUCAUCAGCUUGCAUUGAUUACGUCCCUGCCCUUUGUACACACCGCCCGUCGCACCUACCGAUUGAAUGGUCCGGUGAAUCUUUAGGACUGUGGCUGAGGCCUUGCCUUGUGCGGGUCUGGCCGUGGGAAUUUAGUUAAACCUUACCAUUUAGAGGAAGGUGAAGUCGUAACAA
rnacentral:rRNA from 1 species